rnacentral:rRNA from 1 species
GAUGAACGCUGGCGGCAGGCCUAACACAUGCAAGUCGAGCGCGCCUUCGGGUGAGCGGCGGACGGGUGAGUAACACGUGGGAAUAUGCCUUUCGGUGCGGAAUAGUCUUGGGAAACUGAGGGUAAUACCGCAUACGCCCCUUGGGGGAAAGAUUUAUCGCCGAAAGAUUAGCCCGCGUUGGAUUAGGUAGUUGGUGGGGUAAUGGCCUACCAAGCCGACGAUCCAUAGCUGGUUUGAGAGGAUGAUCAGCCACACUGGGACUGAGACACGGCCCAGACUCCUACGGGAGGCAGCAGUGGGGAAUCUUAGACAAUGGGGGCAACCCUGAUCUAGCCAUGCCGCGUGAGUGAUGAAGGCCUUAGGGUUGUAAAGCUCUUUCAGCUGGGAAGAUAAUGACGGUACCAGCAGAAGAAGCCCCGGCUAACUUCGUGCCAGCAGCCGCGGUAA